AACGAACGCUGGCGGCAUGCCUAACACAUGCAAGUCGAACGAGACCUUCGGGUCUAGUGGCGCACGGGUGCGUAACGCGUGAGAACCUGCCCUUAGGUUCGGAAUAACUCCCCGAAAGGGGUGCUAAUACCGGAUAAUGUCUUCGGACCAAAGAUUUAUCGCCUUUGGAUGGGCCCGCGUUGGAUUAGCUAGUUGGUAGGGUAAAAGCCUACAAGGCGACGAUCCAUAGCUGGUCUGAGAGGAUGAUCAGCCACACUGGGACUGAGACACGGCCCAGACUCCUACGGGAGGCAGCAGUGGGGAAUAUUGGACAAUGGGCGAAAGCCUGAUCCAGCAAUGCCGCGUGAGUGAUGAAGGCCUUAGGGUUGUAAAGCUCUUUUACCCGGGAUGAUAAUGACAGUACCGGGAGAAUAAGCUCCGGCUAACUCCGUG
rnacentral:rRNA from 1 species